rnacentral:rRNA from 1 species
UGAACGCUGGCGGCGUGCCUAAUACAUGCAAGUCGAGCGAACGGACGAGAAGCUUGCUUCUCUGAUGUUAGCGGCGGACGGGUGAGUAACACGUGGAUAACCUACCUAUAAGUCUGGGAUAACUUCGGGAAACCGGAGCUAAUACCGGAUAAUAUUUUGAACCGCAUGGUUCAAAAGUGAAAGACGGUCUUGCUGUCACUUAUAGAUGGAUCCGCGCUGCAUUAGCUAGUUGGUAAGGUAACGGCUUACCAAGGCAACGAUGCAUAGCCGACCUGAGAGGGUGAUCGGCCACACUGGAACUGAGACACGGUCCAGACUCCUACGGGAGGCAGCAGUAGGGAAUCUUCCGCAAUGGGCGAAAGCCUGACGGAGCAACGCCGCGUGAGUGAUGAAGGUCUUCGGAUCGUAAAACUCUGUUAUUAGGGAAGAACAUAUGUGUAAGUAACUGUGCACAUCUUGACGGUACCUAAUCAGAAAGCCACGGCUAACUACGUG